rnacentral:lncRNA from 1 species
AGAAACCAGUAGGGGAGGGACAUCCUUCAGGUGGGGCACGGGGGUGGGUGCAGAGCCAACCCUGCAGCCUCUGGUUUGCUGGCAAAACUGCUCUUGGGCAGAGCAACUCCUCCACAUCCUGCAAAGUGCACAUCUGUGACUGCAUCCCGUGAUGGUGUCUGUGUGCAGCACCACGUGGCUGUUGGCUCGUGUUCAAUUUGUGACCUGCAGCAACCCCGAACUUUCUGCAGUCCUGGCUUGCCAGCAAUACCUUACGAGUUAAUUAGAUUCCCUGGACUUUUUGAUCACGCUUCCAGUUUAUCAGAAUCGCUAUUGAUCCUCAGCUUAUCCUCCAGUGUACUGCCAGCCCUGGUGCGGGGUCAUCUGCAAGUCUAAUAAUUCUUUCUAUUCCAUCAUUUAGGUCAGGAAUGAAAACACCAACUAGUGCUAGACCUUGGCCCCCAGCAUAUCCCUGGCACAUACAUCCUUCUGUCUUGACAGCAGACCAUAGGUGGGAUUCCAGCAGCAUCCUGGAGCCCUGCUGCCCAUUGCUGCUGAGCAGUGCUGUCAGCAAGCUGUCAGUGGGGCUGACAGGCCCUCGAGCUGAGCUGACAGGAUUAAUUUAAAAUCCCAUAUGGUGGAAGAGUUGACUGUCUCCCCAGCUCACUCUGUGUAUGGACAGCAGCCCUCAGCUGGCAGCUUGCUGCCACCUCACCUGAGUUCCUUCUGAUCUCCAAAGCUCUUUGGUGUUCCCUCAGCCUGGCAAAGCGUAGCAGCUGUCCUGGCCAUGUGGUGCUGUGAUCCUCUCCUCUUCCUGGGAUAACAAAGCACAUCAAAGACUGUAAGGGGACACCAUGAAUGCUCAGGGUCUUGAGUUAUGGGGCUGCCCUAUGCGCCCUGGUGAGCUCGCAGCAGGGAGGUGGGCAGCUGUGCCUUAAAGCGGGGGAGCUGAGGGCUGGGUUCUGUUUGCAAGUUUGCCUUGAUUUAAUAUAACUUUGGGUGAGUGAAUUAAUCUUUCCGCAUUUGUUCCUUCUGUGGCUCCCAGCACUGAGGUUUUGUUGGUUAAUGUUUAUAAGAGUCUUUUGAAAUGUGGCUGUUGCCGUGUGGAUCCAACAAAGCGAAGCAACAGUGAACAAUGAGAGAGUAUUUUCCAAAAUACAGUGUAGUAAAAGCGACUGAGAUAAGGUCUGCUCUCAUUAAUUUAAAAAAUGAUAUUUUUCUUUCUUUCAAUAAAAAC